CCCUGCUUUUCUCAGUCUGGAAUCUACGUAGCAUUGUACACAACUUGGUCUCUUGGCAGAUUAUCUGAUGGACCUGGGAGAGUUGGUCUGUAUCGGAAUGCUGGAAGGGUUGCAGGCAAUGUACAGGGAAACCUUAACAAACCUGUGAUAAUAGCUUUAUCCAGCUCAACACAUUUUCAAGCUGGGCAUUCUUCAAAAUUGCUGUAUUGAGCAGAGCCAGGGAUUUCAGGUGGUCCUGUAUGUUACAUAGCAAUCCAGGGCUUUUCGGGCAUGAACCAGCAAAUGUAUGGAGCAUGUACGUUACGAUUUCCAAUAUGGAUCGUGGAGGAAAAGUUUAGUUGGAUGACACAAUGAAAAUGGU